GAUGAACGCUGACAGAAUGCUUAACACAUGCAAGUCAACUUGAAUUUGGGUUUUUAACUUAGGUUUGGGUGGCGGACGGGUGAGUAACGCGUAAAGAACUUGCCUCACAGCUAGGGACAACAUUUGGAAACGAAUGCUAAUACCUAAUAUUAUGAUAAUAGGGCAUCCUAUAAUUAUGAAAGCUAUAAGCGCUGUGAGAGAGCUUUGCGUCCCAUUAGCUAGUUGGAGAGGUAACGGCUCACCAAGGCGAUGAUGGGUAGCCGGCCUGAGAGGGUGAUCGGCCACAAGGGGACUGAGACACGGCCCUUACUCCUACGGGAGGCAGCAGUGAGGAAUAUUGGACAAUGGACCGAGAGUCUGAUCCAGCAAUUCUGUGUGCACGAUGAAGUUUUUCGGAAUGUAAAGUGCUUUCAGUUGGGAAGAAACAAAUGACGGUACCAACAGAAGAAGUGACGGCUAAAUACGUG
rnacentral:rRNA from 1 species